rnacentral:rRNA from 1 species
UACGAAGGGGGGCUAGCGUUGCUCGGAAUCACUGGGCGUAAAGCGCACGUAGGCGGCUUUUUAAGUCAGGGGGUGAAAUCCUGGAGCUCAACUCCAGAACUGCCUUUGAUACUGAGAAGCUUGAGUCCGGGAGAGGCGAGUGGAAUUCCUGGUGUAGCGGUGAAAUGCGCAGAUAUCAGGAGGAACACCGAUGGCGAAGGCAGCUCGCUGGGACGGUACUGACGCUGAGGCGCGAAAGCGUGGGGAGCAAACAGG